GAUGAACGCUGGCGGCGUGCUUAACACAUGCAAGUCGAACGGAAAGGCCGAAGCUUGCUUCGGUACUCGAGUGGCGAACGGGUGAGUAACACGUGGGUGAUCUGCCCUGUACUUCGGGAUAAGCUUGGGAAACUGGGUCUAAUACCGGAUAUGACAAUCUCUUGGAUGGGGUUGUGGAAAGCUAUUGCGGUAUGGGAUGAGCUCGCGGCCUAUCAGCUUGUUGGUGGGGUAAUGGCCUACCAAGGCGUCGACGGGUAGCCGGCCUGAGAGGGUGUACGGCCACAUUGGGACUGAGAUACGGCCCAGACUCCUACGGGAGGCAGCAGUGGGGAAUAUUGCACAAUGGGCGCAAGCCUGAUGCAGCGACGCCGCGUGGGGGAUGACGGCCUUCGGGUUGUAAACUCCUUUCGCAACCGACGAAGCUUUUUGUGACGGUAGGUUGAGAAGAAGCACCGGCUAACUACGU
rnacentral:rRNA from 1 species